UGUAUUAAAUUUAUAUAUAUGUUUUUCGGUAGACUUGACAUCUUUAUGAUAUUUAGUCUUCCCAUCUAGGAUCAUGGUAUGAUAUGUUUAUUCAGGUCUUAUUUUAUAUCCUUCAGUAAAAUUUUAAAGUUUUACCUUGUUAAAUUUAUUGCUAGUUGUUAUGAAUGAGGUCAUUUUCCAUUUCAGUUUUUAAAUGAUUAUGGCUAGUAGAGUAAGAACACUAUUGAUGUUUACUUGUCUAGAUAUCUAUAUCUUGUAUUCUGCCACCUUAUUAAAUUCUCUUUUUAGUAUUCUAUUCUUGCUUUCUUUUUCUUUCUUGGUUUCUCUUCACUGGGUAUUCUUCCUCCACCUGCUUUUCAAGGCAUCUCUAUCUGGAAAUCUCAAGAAUAUCUAAAGCUCAGAAUAAAACUAAGUUACAGUUAAAAUAAUCUCUCCUUACUCUUAGGUUCAGAACUGCUUGCUACUAGCCCAUGAAGCACCUUUGUAUAAAUUGGAAGAAGGUACCCCUUUCUCCUGAGACUUUACUCUUAUCUCCUGGGAAGAUUGUCCUAGUUAACUGAUUCGGUUGGAAUGUGACACCUUACUGCAGAAAAAUGUCAUAAUAAAUCUGCAGAUCUCUGAUGUCUCCCCUGUCAGUGCCCCCUUAGAUGAGGAGCUCUUGGGUGGUCUCAACCCGCACAAACGUUCUCGGUAGUGCUGCUGAGAUCUCUGGGUUGUGUCAUCACUGCCUCUGGAGUCACCCCUUUCUUCCCAAGCCCACAGCCUCAGUUUAGACUCUCAUUAUAUUUCUUCUCUCAUUGCAGUACACCUGCCCCUCCCCCAAAAA